GUCUGGCUGGCUCAGUUGGUGAAGUAUGCAACUCUUGAUUUCAGAAUUGUGGGUUCAAAUCCCAUGUUGGGUG
rfam:Felis catus isolate Cinnamon breed Abyssinian chromosome A2, whole genome shotgun sequence.